rnacentral:rRNA from 1 species
GACGAACGCUGGCGGCGUGCUUAACACAUGCAAGUCGAACGAUGAAACCUAGCUUGCUAGGUCGAUUAGUGGCGAACGGGUGAGUAUCACGUGACUAACCUGCCCCUUUCUCUGGGAUAACGCUCCGAAAGGAGUGCUAAUACCGGAUACUCACACCGAGGCGCAUGCCUUGGUGUGGAAAGUUUUUCGGAAAGGGAUGGAGUCGCGGCCUAUCAGCUUGUUGGUGAGGUAACGGCUCACCAAGGCGACGACGGGUAGCCGGCCUGAGAGGGCGACCGGCCACACUGGGACUGAGACACGGCCCAGACUCCUACGGGAGGCAGCAGUGGGGAAUAUUGCACAAUGGGCGCAAGCCUGAUGCAGCGACGCCGCGUGAGGGAUGAAGGUCUUCGGAUUGUAAACCUCUUUCAGUAGGGACGAAGCGAAAGUGACGGUACCUAAAGAAGAAGCACCGGCUAACUACGUGCCAGCAGCCGCGGUAA